rnacentral:misc_RNA from 1 species
GGAAACAAGAGAAACCACAUAUUCCAGAAGGCCUCCCUCCUUCAGUUGAAAAUGUCCUUCGUGGUUGCUUUGACUAUGACUUCAGGAAUCGACCGUUAAUGACAGACAUUUUACGUGUUUUCAAAAGCUCGCAGAAUGCAAUUUAUGGUGAUGGAGGCUGGACAGGACUUGGGAGCGAAACAACCUCAGACAAAUCAAGUGGCAAUGGUUACUCGGAGUGGUUUCUUUUGAAGGAUCAUCUGCUAGUGGGAGACAUGGUGCGUUCUAGAAAGCCAAC